GACGUAGGGCGCGAGCGUUGUCCGGAUUUAUUGGGCGUAAAGAGCUCGUAGGCGGCUUGUCGCGUCGUCCGUGAAAACCUGCAGCUCAACUGCAGGCUUGCGGGCGAUACGGGCAGGCUAGAGUUCGGUAGGGGAGACUGGAAUUCCUGGUGUAGCGGUGAAAUGCGCAGAUAUCAGGAGGAACACCGGUGGCGAAGGCGGGUCCCUGGACAGGUCCUGACGCUGAGGCACGAAAGCUAGGGGAGCAAACAGG
rnacentral:rRNA from 1 species